rnacentral:rRNA from 2 species
UGGGGUGACCGCGUACCUUUUGUAUAAUGGGUCAGCGACUUAAUGUUAGUAGCAAGGUUAACCGCAUAGGGGAGCCGUAGGGAAACCGAGUCUUAACUGGGCGAGUAGUUGCUAGCAUUAGACCCGAAACCGAGUGAUCUAGCCAUGGGCAGGUUGAAGGUUGAGUAACAUCAACUGGAGGACCGAACUCACUAACGUUGAAAAGUUAGGAGAUGACCUGUGGCUAGGGGUGAAAGGCCAAUCAAACUCGGAGAUAGCUGGUUCUCCCCGAAAGCUAUUUAGGUAGCGCCUCGGACGAAUACUACUGGGGGUAGAGCACUGUUAAGGCUAGGGGGUCAUCCCGACUUACCAACCCUUUGCAAACUCCGAAUACCAGUAAGUACUAUCCGGGAGACACACGGCGGGUGCUAACGUCCGUCGUGGAGAGGGAAACAACCCAGACCGCCAGCUAAGGUCCCCAAGUUAUCGCUAAGUGGGAAACGAUGUGGGAAGGCUCAGACAGCCAGGAUGUUGGCUUAGAAGCAGCCAUCAUUUAAAGAAAGCGUAAUAGCUCACUGGUCGAGUCGGCCUGCGCGGAAGAUGUAACGGGGCUAAGCGAUACACCGAAGCUGCGGCAAUGUCCUUAUGGAUAUUGGGUAGGGGAGCGUUGUGUAAGCUGUUGAAGGUGUGCUGAGA